AGUCUAGAGAGAAGAAAAUGCAAGAAAAUAAGAUACAGAGAGACUUAUCUAGGGUUUUAUCCCUUUUUUUUUUUUUUUUUUGGGUCGCUACCUCAGCUUACCCCAUUUCUGUCUCGUUGGACCAGUGUAUCACUACCAUCACACCAUUUCCAUACAGGGGCUUCUAAUACAUUAAAAGGCAAGAAAAAAGGGACAUCAAACAAAAAUGAGGUUGGUUCUGUUUCUAACUUUAACUAGGAACUAUAGUUAAUAGGAGUUUCUCUAAUUAACUUUAGUUCAUAAAUUUUAUUAUUAAGUAGUGGUUAAUUUUUCCAUUGUGAUUCUGUGGGUGGUUUCCAUUCCAUUGUGAUUCAUGGCUCAUCAUCUUAUUAAUAAAUGUGAUUCAUGUUUCUAAUUUUCUUAUAAUUUUUUUUAUGAUUCAUGUUUCUUAUGUUUAUAAUUUUCUUAUGAUUUUCUGAGUGAAAGGGUGAUUAUUUGAUUCAUGGUGUUGGAAGGAAUACUUUUCUUUUGUUUAGGUGAUGCUUUUGGUGUUGGAAGGACUAUUUUUUAUUUUAGGAUACUCCAGUCAAGAAAAACUUCCAAAAGUGAGGUAGUGGGAUUUAGACUAACAUAACUAUAUAAAAAGACACCUAGAAGGACAAGAAGAAAAAGAAGAAUUCGAUGUUAGACCAGAGUUUUUACAUUGAGAGUGAAUAAAAAGUUGAGUAGAAUGAAUUUAACAGAGUCCAAGAUGAUGGGAAUGAUUUAGAUUCUUCCAAUUAUUCAAAUGAAAACCAGCAGUAGAGCAAAACCAAUUCUCUCAACACGACAUGGCGUCAAAGUUACAGGACACCCAGAAGGAGAAGGAGAAGAAGAAGAAUUUGAUGUUACAGAGUUUUUAUAUUAAGAGUGAAGAUAAAGUUGAGUAGAAUGAAUUUAACAACAGCCAAGAUGAUGGGAAUGAUUCAGAUUCUUCCAAUUAUUCAAAUGAAAACCAGCAGUAGAGCAAAACCAAUUCUCUCAACACAACAUGGUGUCAAAGUUACAGAACAUCCCUCCCAAGUUUCAUUCAAUGAUGUGAAAUCCGAGUCAACUUGUUGUGUGUUUGGAAAGUGGUUCUCGAAUUUGGGAGCUGGUAUUUCAGGACUAGCAAUUUAUCUUUCUGCACUUGAGCAUGAGCUAGCAGCCAGAAAAGCUAGCAGUUUAUCUUUUUACUUUUGAGCAUGAGCUAGCAACGAGAAAAUUUGUAGUCUUUGUGGUCUUUGGGUAUCGUCUAUGUCCAUGAGUUUCUAUCUAUGUUGUUUAAAAAAUUCAUUUUUUUUUCUCUCUUUUUCUUUUUCCACUUGUGUUAACUUUUACCAUGUUCAAUUUGCUAUUUUGGUAUCUUCUAUUUCCAUGGAUUCAUAUUUCUUUGCUUUUAAGCUUCUGUUUGCAUGAAGCAUUUUUAAUAAGAAAUGGUCCAUACUAUA